CCGGGCAUGCGGCGCGGCGUUCCCGUUGCCCACGCUCCUGUUCGCCGGAAGUGGCGGCGCGAUCCUGCGGGCCGGUGCCGCGUGGCCGCCGCUGCCACCCGGUGAGGAGCCGCCGCCGCUCCACGCUCAGGUGUCGGCGGGCGCGCGGGGUGCUCGUGGCCGCAGCCCGGUGUUCGCGCACCGGUUCCAGUCCCUCCGGCGCGCUGUCGGCGAGUGUCGCGUGCGCAGCGCCCGGGAGCAGCGCGGCGGCGCGCAGGGCCCGGGUCCCGGCACCGGCGGCAGCAGGAAGAAGAAGAAGAAUGCCUAGCAGAGACGGAUAAAGAAGAGCAGGGGGAAGAAACAAGACCAGAAAAGCAGUGCGGAAGGUGCCUGUGAAGAGCAGGGAGAAGAGAAGCAGCAGCCUCCAGCAAGUCAGGCAAGAAACUGCCCCUCCCAGAGCAGAGCCUCAGAAAAAGGAGGAAGGUUAGCCAAUGGGCUGGAGGGUGUGCGGAUCGAGAGCAAGGGCUGCCUGUCCACACUGACCUUCUUCAACAUCUCAGAGGAGGACUAUGGCAACUACACGUGUGUGGCCACGAACAAGCUGGGCAACACCAAUGCCAGCAUCAUCCUGCAUGGUAGAUGCCCUGGUUUUUUUGCAGCAAGGUGUUGUGAGGAGGAGGAUGAAGAGGAGGAGGUUGAGUGGCCAGUGAUGGAAGGGAAUGGGUUUUAUUUAGCAAUGCCAGCCCAUCGAGGUGCCGAAUGGCACGAGCUCUGAGUGGACAGGAUACAUCAGAGGAUGAUGAGGAGAUCUGCAUUGCCCCAUGCAGGAGGGCACUGCUUGAUGGUGGUCGGUGGUGGUCACGGUGGAUGUUUGUUUAGGGAUGAGCAGCGGAUGGUGAAGAGACAGACAGGACAUCGUUGGAACGCAGGCCCAAGGAGCGGGCCCCAGCAACUGUCAUUGCUGACCAUCCCAGGGUGCCCGACCUGUUGUUUGCAAAGAAAGAAGAGCACCCACUGCCACCACCAUCUCUUCAUGCAUCUUCUGUUGGCCACCUUUCCUACCCACCACCAGGGCGAUCUGCUUCCUCCGGUCCUGAUGGUUGUGUGGUCUCCUCCAUUAUCUCCUCCAUCGUUGUCUCCUCCACAAAGAUGUGGUUCUCUGCUGCAGACUGAGAGCUGCUCACAGGUGAUACCUGCAAUGUCCUAGAAGGAAAAGCCCUACCUAUCCAGAUAGUCCUCCUAACUCCCUAUACAACAACUCACCAGUGCCUACAUCUCAGCCAGGGGAUGCAUAGUGACUCCUGCUAGGAUGUCACCUUUUGUCUCCCUUGGUCUUCCCUGGAUCUCCUUGUACUUCCUGAUGUUCUGGAUCUGGUACCUCCUUCUCUGGCUGUCCAUCCAUUUCUGUCCACAUGGGCCAAGCUGCCUGGGGAAAAAACCCUCUACUCUCUCUGCAUCUAUCUACCAAGCUUCCUCACCACACUCUUUGGCCUGGUGGCAUGCCUAGCCCUACACCAUUGCCGUGCUCCAUCCUUGAAUCUAUCCCUCAUUAUCUCCUCCUGCCUCUCGACAGGCAUGUGGAGCAUGGGCAGACCUGUGCCUGCUCUCUCCUCCAGGCCUUUGCUUCCCUGGCUCUUCCCAACUGGCACCCACAUGCACCCACCUACCCAAAUCCUUCCCAAAUAACAGCCUUCAUCCCAUGAGAUGCAACAAACCACCUUUCCACGCACAGACCUCAUUGGCUGCCUCUUGCAUCUUCUUUGUCCUCUUCCUCCUCACUUGCUGCCUAAGAACCCCCCUCACACCGUGACCCCAAAAUAUCACCAAGCACCUGGCAGUCCACACGUCUGGACUAUGCCAUCUCCUAUGUCAGCAUGCCCUUAGUGUUGAGCACGAGUUGUCCCACUUCCAAGCACCUCUGACGUAACCAGUCUAAUAAAGCUGUGCUAACCCUGAAUCAGCCUCAUGAGUAUACCCAAAGUACCACCUAUGCUACCUAACCUAACGCCUACACUACCUCAAGUGCCACCUACACUACCCUAAGUGUCACCUAUGCUACCCAAGCUGCCACCUACACUACCCAACUUGCAGACAGGAUGGGAAACCUAAAUCAAAGCUCUGCCUUUGCUGUGUGUGCCUGCUUGCCAGGACACUCGUUUUUGCACAAACGUGGAAUAAAUAGCUGCUUCACUGUUGUGUCUGACCGAGACCUGCCUGAACCCAGAGACCCUUUGUCAUAAUUCAACUUCUCAGACACCAAAAUCCAAGACCCAUUCCCUCAUCAGGACGCAGGAUGGCGUCCACCAUCACCAACACCUGCAGUACCGAAUUCCGGACACAGGGUGGCAGCAGCGAGCGGCAUGCGGCGCCACACCGCCGCCCCCCACCCGCGCUCUACCGAGAUUUCUGGGUGUCCCCCCCCCGAACCCGCCCCAACCCUUGCAGACCCAGAAUCAGGGGUUUUGGAUUAUUUUUGGGCCACCACCGCGGCUCCUGCUCCACAAGCACAGCCGGACAUGGAAAGGUCUUUUUGGGGAAUCAGACCCAAAUCAAGCUGUUACUCACCUUUCUUCAAAGGACCCCCCACACACACUCACCUGCUCGUCUGCGAAAUCAUCGCCAAGCAGCAGCUUUCUGUCCUGGUGACCUUAGGCUUAGGAGCAGGGGCUGGAAGUUUGCACUUCGGGAUGAGGACGGGGCCGGCCGUGGUGGAAUCAACGCAGUGGUUUCAGUCAGGUCCGACCUUCCCUGCACGCACCAGCCUCGGGAGGCGCCGCUGGCUUCAAUCAGGUUCACCUUGAAGAUGAGUUUGUUGUUCCUCCUGUCCGUGGUCGAGAUGGUGACCUGAAAACAGCAGCACGGAGUGGAGGAGCCCCUGGAUUACUUGCAGAUACAACAGCAGAGGGGUCCCACCCCAGGAUCUCUCCCCCCAGCACCCACCUGGUUGGUGCAACUCUUCUUCCAGCCGUACCCCAUCUUCUCACACACCUCCUUCAGGGCACGGUACGAGCCGUCAGCGUCCAGCUUGGUGAAGAAGCGUGUCAUCCGCUUCACCAGGCGCUGCCACGGGCUCUGCCGGCCCCAAACCCAUGGGAAAGGUCAGAAAUCCCAUCAGGCUGCAGCAAUCCCGAGGGUAAAGCCUGGAAAGCUGCACCCCCUGAUGGCAAAGGCUGCGAGCUGCAACGCCCAGGAUGCAAACCUGCACCCCAAACGUUAUAAACGCUGUGAAGCUGCAUCCCAGUACUGCAAAACUGCUCCCUAUGGCAUAAGUAUUUCACAGUUGCCUCUGAAUCUCAUAUAUAUAAUGCGAAGUUACAUCCCAAACGUAAUAAAUACUUUGAAUUUGGA